AGACAAAUGCAAAACACUGCAUCCUGGAUGCUGCUGCCCUUGCAGAAGAAGAUAAGCUCCAGCCCAAUUAAGGAAGAACAUUAAGUACCAUAGAUUCACAGCUGGGAAUUUAUAUCUGAAUAGGGACUGAGGGUGAGUUAGAUCUGUGCUGCUGUUUCUACAGGUGAGGAGAGAUUUGGAUAACCCAUGCCCUGGGGAAAACAGAGCUUGGAGGAAAAUGGGCUACAACUCAUGAGAGCUGGCAGUGCUGCACUGGCAAUACAAUCUGUCCUGCUUUCUUUGCCUUCACACAUUAGCUGGAAUCUUCUGAGAGUCAGAAAAUCUCAAUGGAGCUUGGGCCAUCCAGCUUUCUAGGGCUGCUCUCUCUUGCCCCAGCAUUGCCCACCCCUGCUGGGCCAAGCAGGCAUGGAAGAACAAGGGAGCAACAGCCAAUGGGACUCACCAGAGGUGGCUUGCAGGCUUUCCAGAGGAGUGUCUCCAAACUGAUAAUCACCCCUCCUCAUGCUCAUGGCAAUGGGAUGGAGCUGCAGUCAGGGCACUGGGGGCUGUGACUGGCACCACAGGGAGUAAGUGGCUGGAAGACUAACGAUGUGCCAUGCUGAUACCUCCAUUUUUACUACAUCCAAUUAAGCAAUAAAUGAUUCUGGUGGAA